CGUGAGGAACUUGCCCAUGAGCGGGGGACAACAUUCGUAAACGGAUGCUAAUACCCCAUAGGUGGAUUGGUCGCAUGACGAAUUCAUUAAAGGUGGCUUUGCUACCACUCAUGGAUAGCCUCGCGGCGUAUUAGCUAGUUGGUAAGGUAAUGGCUUACCAAGGCAGUGAUACGUAGCCGACUUGAGAGGGUGAUCGGCCACACUGGGACUGAGACACGGCCCAG
rnacentral:rRNA from 1 species